rnacentral:rRNA from 1 species
CUUGUACACACCGCCCGUCAAGCCACCUGAGUUGGGAGCACCCGAAAUCGUCUCUCUAACCGCAAGGAAGAAGACGCUUAAGGUGAGACCAGUAAGGAGGGCU